GAAACAUUAAAAUUGAAUAGGAAAAAUUAAAAAUACAAAUACAGGUUUCGCAUGAACAUGCUUCGCAUCAUACUCCUCCACUUGAAAAAAACUCGUCCUCGAGUUAGAACAGCUUGCGACGACCCAAAAUUUUGCACCGUCAUCUUCCAUAUCAUUUUUCCCCACUUGGAAAACUUUUCCUCUGACUUUAAAGUGUUGAAGAAUUAUGAACUUUGUAGGAGAGCACACCAUAUUGCU
rnacentral:misc_RNA from 1 species